AUAAAUCUUCAGGGCGGGGUGAGAGUCCCCACCGGCGGUAUAGCCCGCGAGCCUUAAGUGGUAUGAUUCGGUGUAAUUCCGAAGCCGACAGUAAAGUCUGGAUGAGAGAAGGUAAAG
rnacentral:ncRNA from 2 species